UACGUAGGCAGCAAGCGUUGUUCGGAGUUACUGGGCGUAAAGAGUGUGUAGGCGGUGCUCUAAGUUUGGUGUGAAAUCUCCCGGCUCAACUGGGAGGGUGCGCCGAAAACUGGAGUGCUUGAGUGUGGGAGAGGAAAGCGGAAUUCCUGGUGUAGCGGUGAAAUGCGUAGAUAUCAGGAGGAACACCUGCGGUGUAGACGGCUUUCUGGACCAUUACUGACGCUGAGACACGAAAGCGUGGGUAG
rnacentral:rRNA from 1 species